UUCUCGGUAGCUUAACGGAUAAGCAAGGUAGAUCGAAUAUCUGUAGGUGCGGGUUCGAGUCCCGCUUGAGGUU
rnacentral:tRNA from 1 species